ensembl:lncRNA
GGGCGCCCAUGGCGGAGUGUGGCCCGGGCGCCACAGGUGGUGCCCUGCCCACCUCCCCCGGCCGGGCCCUCAGCGCCAAUGGCGCCCUGAUAGCGGGAGCCCGAGAAGGCGCGGUAGCGCCAAGGGUGGUCGCCUUAGCCAAGGUCUGGCGCACUAUGACAGCGGCGGGGUUUCCCACAGAGACUACAGACUCGCAGUGUCGGGGGACGAAGUCCGGGCCAGCCCUGCCAGGGAACCUCGAGGCAUGGUGCUCUGGCCGACCCCUAGCCCGGUCGCUGGUCCGGUCCCCAGGGACAGCAAGCUGAGCGGCCUGUGAGCAGCAGCAGCGUCAAGGUCCAGCAAGUAUCGGCAUAGCAAGAUUUCCUGAAGUGGAAAUGAGUACAGACCACAGCAGCACAGCCUGCUUGACUGUAAGAGACUUGUACAUAACAUAGCUCCCACUAAUUCUUCAUUCAACAGAAAACCUGCUGGAUAAAAGCGAAACUCGAACAUGGCAUAGACCAGAACAAGAUCUCCCUUGGAGAGCAGUGCCACAGGAGGAGUCUAAGUGUGCACAACAAAUACACCACUAUUACAUCGCAUCCUUAAUAUCCAUAGCAGUUGUGGGCUGCAUUUUCCUACUUUAGUUUGAUUUCUUUGGAUUGAAUAGGCCAUACUUUCAUCUCGGCUCUCCCCAGCAAGCGUGCACAUUUGGAAGGACUCAGAGAAGAGCUGAUGCACAUCAAUCGAGAACUGCUGGGCAUCCAGGAAGAGUGUGCACAUGUACAUUUGUACUUGUCCUGAAGGGUCACCCAGAAGAGUUUCAUGGAGAUCAGUCCACAACAUUGGAAAAACUUUGAGUCAAAGACUGUCAUAUGUUUUAUACUCAGUAUUGGAUGGCUUUGUCCUUCAUACCCUCACUCCAACAAGGCAGACCUACUUACAUUCCCC